rnacentral:tRNA from 1 species
GGGGGCAUAGUUCAACGGCAGAAUUUUGGUCUCCAAAACCAACGAUCAAGGUUCGAAUCCUUGUGCCCCCG